GGAGGGACCAAAAAGCAUAUCCGUGUUUAAGAGGUCAACUAGAACCACGAGCUCAGUAGAAGCUUAUAAUUUGAAUUUGGGAAAUAAAAUUCGAGCAAAUGGGCACUUUUUUAAAUUUGUUCAAUGUCUUAUUGAUGCAGAAUAUGAAAAAAGUCGCGAGUUUGCUUUACUCUUUCAAAAUGGUGGUAAUGGAAAUCAGACACAGAAGAAGAAAUUACGUGAUCGCUCAAAAAAAAUAAUGGACGCAAUGGAUCUUUUUGAAAGAGGUGAAAUAGAUAUACAGGGAUUUCUGACAUGCACUGUUUCCUUAGCUGACCGCUUUUCAAAGCAGGACUUCUUUGAAGGGGUGGACAAUGAAAGCAAUUUAACUGGAAUGUCUUCUGAUAUGAAAUCUUCCACAUCGUCACUUUCAUCGAAUGCUUCUCAUUCAAGUCAGUCAUCUGAUAAAUCAUUGGUUCAAAUGAAUCCAUGCAAUGUGUGCCUAUGUAACCCAAAGUCUGUGUUGUUGCGCCCGUGCAAUCACGUAAACAUUUGUGGUACAUGUUGGGAUCAAAUUGUGGCC